rnacentral:ncRNA from 2 species
AUUAUAUAUUACGGGAGCUUGGUGGGACCAGGCUGAGAGGAUAGUUGUAACUAUCGACCGUCAAACCUGAUCUGGAUAAUGCCAGCGGAGGAAUUGGAGUUCUAUUUCU